AUGUUAAUAUGAAUACAGAGGUAAGGGAUUUUCUUUUGCCCACAGAAGACCUCAAAAUAAAUCAUAGAUGCAAAUAUUGAUGUCUUGGAAAAUAAAGCUAAAGUAAACUGUCAAUGAGACUUACGUAAAUGACUCUAAUAAUUUUUAUUAUUUUUUUUAAGAGAACUCAAACUCUCAGCAUCAGCCAGCUGGCAUGUUCAAAGUCUGUCUGUAAAUAUUAAAAGCUUUUCCCUGGCAAGAGUACCAAAAUAUUACUGGUAUCUCUGGCAUGUAAUUCAAAUAAAGAUGAAGUAAACUGUAAAUGUUAUCACAAAGCUUAAACAGUCCUGAUAUCUACUAAAUGUAGAGCUUCAUUCUGCCAGGCUGACAUAACCUCAAGUAGUGCUUGAACUACAAGGACUGUGUUGGGUGAUUUCCUGUUAAGCACAUGAAGUGUUUUCAUAAAAGGCAUGUUUUUGUAAUGUAGCUUGGUACUUUUUCUGUGUUGUUGCUGAUAACCCACUCCUCUCUUGCUCUUUAUGCAGCAAGCCUCAGGCUGGACUGAUGUAUUACCUAGUUAGGUUUUCCUAAGACUCAUCCAUGAAGUUUGUGACCUCCUGAGCCUUUUGCAUAUGAGCAAACAGCACAUAUGCCAAAUCUCCUGUGCCUUUUGGAGAAGGCUGACCUGGCAGCACGUGUGCUGAAGGACACACUGAGGAUUUCUGGUUAUGAGGUGGACCUGGAUGGACACAUCCAGCCCUCUGUGUGAGUACUUUCAUUGACUGCCCAAGGCACAGGCAGGGGUGCAGACACUCAGGAGAGGACUACCGUACAUUUGGAAAUCCUGGAGAAAUAAAGCAGCUGCCCAAAGUACGCUCAGAGAAGAGUGAGGAAGAUGAUUCUGGGAGAAGCUGGCUGUCAGCAGCCCUAGCUGUUUCUGGUUCCUGGAAAAUGUGUCUUUUACAGCCAAAGCUCUGCUGGCAGAUAUUUUGCAGUUGCCUGGAAAGAAGAGAGAUCUUUUUUUUUUAAAACUGCUGCAUUGCAACAUUGCUCCUCUCUGGUAUUCAGCAUCCCAUGACAUGACACAGAAAGCCGUGUCAACAGACCUACCUUAGCGAGCAACCCAGCUAAGCACAACGUGAGUCAUCUUCUGAGCUCCAGCUGGCUGAUUUGGGAAGAAUUUGCAGGUGUGUGUUUGUUUGGAUUAAAAGGAGACUAUUUCAAGUGAGGACAAUGUUUCGUUCCUGCUCCUUACUCCCAUAUGCACAUUUUAUUUGUCACUCCUGUCAACAAACAUUUGUAAACUAAAAAUAACGUGUUAACUAUACACACUACAUUGCAGUGCUUUGGAAGACAUUGAGCUCUCUCUGCUUGCAGCAUGAAUUUCGUCUCUUGGCUGCCUCCCUCCUUUGGUAGACAGCUCUCUUGCUGCGCCAGUUGGAAAGGAAGACACGUCUCACCCCUCACCCCUUCUCAGCUUACUCACCAUUACUUUCGUAGUUAGCAUUCAGAGAAGAGCAACAGCUUCUGAAAGCCCAAAUGUUUUGGAGACAGCCUUGGGAAACCUGGCUUGAAUCAUCUUUCAGGGCAAAUUUGUGAGACCCCAUUUUUCACCAACAGAAGUUAUGUGCAAGCAAACAACAGCCUAACUGGGAGCCCCUCGGGUUAAACAAACUUGGUCUUCAUUUCCAGCACAGGUUUUCUGUGUCAGUUCUGCCGGAUAGCUCAGACUCUUCUGGAAUAAUGGCUUCAUUACAUAUACAGGAUACAAAUUGUAAACUGCAGUUUGUCAUCUCAAGAAUAAAUUACACCCAAAGAGCUACA
rnacentral:lncRNA from 1 species